rnacentral:rRNA from 1 species
ACUUUUACUUACACCCAACUCGCCAGAGAACUACGAGCAAUGCUUAAAACUCAAAGGACUUGACGGUUCCCCAUAUCCACCUAGAGGAGCCUGUCCUAUAAUUGAUAACCCCCACUAAACCUCACCCCUUUUAGCUUAUCAGCCUGUAUACUUCCGUCGUCAACCUACCACGUGAGCGUAACUCAGUAGGUUCCAUCGCCUAACCCGCACAAACGCCAGGUCAAGGUGCAGCAAAUAAAGGGGGAAGAGAUGGGCUACAUUCUCUAGCAUAGAGCAUACGAAAGGCUAAGAUGAAACCUAGCCAGAAGGCGGAUUUAGUAGUAAAGAGUGAAUAGAGUGCACUCUUUAACAAGGCACUGGAGUGCGUACACACCGCCCGUCACCCUCCUCAAAACCCUCACACUAGUACUUAACACCCUGACAACUCAAAGAGGAGGCAAGUCGUAACU